GGCUAGUAGUGAACUUCUCAAAUUGGGACUCAACAACAUCNAAGGUAGCUGCCUUCCUUUUCGAACCUCUUGAGGAUGAAGUCCCACCGGAUGGGACUGAAGGCACAGAUUGAGUCCCACCUGGACUGUAUUCAUCAACUGAGGGAGGAGGUGAUGGCGGAGUUGGGUCUCUAUACCCCAUCCAGUCAGGUUGCUCAGGAAUGUACUCAAUAUUCUGAUUGAGAUCAACAUUAACACGAGGCGCAUCCCGCCCUCGACGCAUUUGACGAGCGGUCCGAACACCGCUCCCUGUAGCUCGAUCCGCAGCCCAUAACUCCACCAUUAAAUCGUAAUGGCGNAUACUCGUCACUCUCCAC
rnacentral:lncRNA from 1 species